GUGAGGAAUUUUCCGCAAUGGGCGAAAGCCUGACGGAGCAAUGCCGCGUGAAGGAUGAAGGCCUAUGGGUUGUAAACUUCUUUUCUCAGAAAAGAAUUAUGACGGUAUCUGAGGAAUAAGCAUCGGCUAACUCUGUGCCAGCAGCCGCGGUAAGACAGAGGAUGCAAGCGUUAUCCGGAAUGAUUGGGCGUAAAGCGUCUGUAGGUUGUUUAAAAAGUAUUCUGUCAAAGAUUAGGGCUUAACCCUAGAUAGGCAGAAUAAACUUUUAAGCUAGAGUUUGGUAGAGGCAGAGAGAAUUCCCUGUGGAGCGGUGAAAUGCGUAGAUAUCGGGAGGAACACCAAAGGCGAAGGCACUCUGCUGGGCCAAUACUAACACUGAGAGACGAAAGCGAGGGGAGCAAAUGGGAUUAGAUACCCGAGUAGUCC
rnacentral:rRNA from 1 species